rnacentral:tRNA from 4 species
GGACGGUUAGCUCAGACGGAAGAGCGGCAGGUUGAAGCCCUGCGCGUCAGAGGUUCGAUUCCUCUACCGUCCA